GGCCAUUUAAAGGUAAAACAUUUCUUUCAAAAAUGGGGGAGAACUGAUGUAGAACAGUGUUCUUCUGUUCUAAGUCAGCAGAGGCAGAUUGCACUCUGUUUAUGGAACUGCAGCAUUACUUAGGCACUGUUUCAGUAAUCCUAUUUACUAGACGUUUACGCCUGGCGUGGCAUAAAAAUAAACAUUGCACUGCCGUGCUUCCCUGCUAAAACUCAGUCAUCCUUACCAUCCCGACUCCUAACUAAUCAAAAGAUCAGUGCUGCUAACUUUACCAGUACAAAAUAGUCCUUAAGAAGUAAGGGCAACUCUCCUUACCUUUCUCUUUCCCAAAAAAUCUGCUUCCAGUUAUGCUUGAAACGAGCCCUCAUUUAAAAGUAUAUGUAUGAAUGCAUCAAAUUUUGAAUGAGGCCCAAGCUGUAAGCUUGGUUGAUGGAAUUCUUAUGGGAAAGAGUUUCCAGGUUACUGAUAGGAGAAGGGUAGGGACAAACACAUUCCUGACAUAGAGCAGUGCUCAUUUCUGAAGGCAAAUUGGCUUUUAAGUACAGCUUAUUAAGAAAUUCAGCACUUUUUAAUAGUACGAGUCAGAAAAGUGUUUCUGUACCAACUUGCCAUUGCCAUCAGACGCAUGGCUUUUAUGAGGCAAUGGAAAUAUUUGUUUACCUCUCCUGUUUAAAAAAAUAAAUAAAUAAAAAUUAAGCGACAUGCUGUAGCAAGCAUGCAUGCUUUGCUGGAGUAAGAAAUAAUUAUAUUUUGCAGUUGAAGCUUGUGGGAUUUUUUUUCUUUUUAAAACCCUAUACAGUCUGUUUUAAAAUUAAUGUAAAAAUCAGGUCUUCGCAGCAUGGUUUGGCAGCUUGAAAGAAGAAUUAAUCCUGUAUGUAUAAUAGAAAAGGUGAUGUCACACUGCAGUUUUAGCAGGAUAAAGCUGUGAGGGGUUUGCAUGGUAACGCUGCUGUCAGCAGCUGCCUUGCCCUGGCGUCUGGACAGGUCUGGGUCUUAUGAGGUGACUGCAGGAAGAUGAGCUUAGAAAACACAUGAGUGAAGUGAAGUUUGGAUAUAACGCAGCAUCCUUUUAUUAAACAAGAUAACAUGCAAGCAUUUCAGAUGAAACGUGCAGGAGUUUUGGUGUGGCAGGUGUGUGGAGGCAGUGAGCUGGAGGCUGAGCACUGAGGUCUGAUCACAAGUGCUAAAGAUGGUGAUCUGCUCUGCCUGCACUCACACAGAUCUGCACGACUUGUCUUCACCCUUACAGGGCUUUUGAAAAAUCUGACAUAUGUAUGUUUGCUGAGCAACCUCAACAUUUAUUAGUGAAAGAGAUUUCUAUAAGGGGGCUUAGAUUUACUUUUCCUCUGAAAAGCAUCUUUAGAAAUAUCCUGCAAUCUGCAGGAAGCCAAGACUGAGCAGAAGAGAAAAGCACUUCCAAGUGUUCCAAAUGAGACAUGAACUACAGCCAUCUUGACUGUUUGUUGACCUAAUCUGGACCUGAACCUCUUGAUCCAGGCUGAGCAAUAGCCAGAACUGAAUCUAAACUCAAGCAGAAGGGAUGUUGCUGACUGAAUCCCAAAAUGCUACAGUGGAAUUGGAAGCCAGCAGGAGCACAACUGUCCCACAGAGUUUAGGAAAUUGUACGUUUUUUCCUCUUCCAAACCUGGAACUUGUGCAGUUUUACAGCUUCUGUAGUAAAGGACCUUGUGUUAGAUCCCAUCUGUGCUGUGAGAAGUAUUGUUUGGGGUGGAGAGCAUCACUGUUGAGAGCAAUUGAUUCCUUGGACAUCUUCAUGGGUGCCACAUUUAGAGCCACUGACACACGUCUGCUGUUUGAAAUGUCAGGCACCCACUGCAUGUACAGCUGAGUGUGGACCUGGAGGAAAGUGAUUCUGCAGCACUGAUGAGCUUUGUGACCCACCUCUUUGAACAAUCCCCUGCCGUGUGUUUCAGCCCAACGCGUGUGGAAGAAGUGUUCCAGGAAGUUUUCCUGCAAACUGGAGAGUAUCGGGGCAGGGGAUAAGGAGACAACUGGAAUUGCUGAGAAAGAGAGCGAGGUGGUGAGUGCUGCAGAUGGGCCACUGGAGUGGAAGACAGUGUGGUGGUGGGAUCAGGAGCUGGUGAGGGUGCUGCUCCCACAGAACAGGAGGCUGCUGCUGGAGGUGACAAACCUCAGGGAGAAGAAAAGGAGAUAGAUGUUUCCCAGGUACCUCAUGUUGUUGUGUGGGGAGCAUUAGAGGAAUCCAGCCAGAUCCAGCAGCUUCAGCACAGGCGAGGCUGAUGCAGCUCCAUGCCCCAGGGUCCAACAAGCAGUGAGGAUGAGCAUGUAUUCUCAGUCAGUGCACACACAGAGCACACAGACAUAUUUGUACACACACAGACAGCCAUGGGAAUCAAAGGCAGGCACACGGGGUACUCACACAAACACAAGCAUUACCGGAGGCCUCAUCGCGUUCACCUCUGGCUGAGUAGGUAGAGCUCUACUAGUGAGAAUACAUGUAUUCGUAUGUACAUGCUGUUGUCACUCAAGUCCACUCACCUGAGUGUCUCCAGUGGCUGGCACCUGGAUCUCUCCUGCAGCUGGCAGAUGGGCACACAGGCCUUCCAAUCCACGGUCUGAGCCUAAUGCACACACGAGCAAGAACAACAGACAGCCCUCACCCUGGAGAGGAGUUAGCCAGCAACUUGAUGAGAAGAUAGGACAGACCACACUCAUCAGGUGCAGGACGUGGCCAGAUAACAUCUGAACUGUCCAUGCUUACGUGCAAGCAGUCCAUUUCUGCUGUUACCUGUGCCUUUGUUGUCCCACACUUGUUCCUCCCCAGAUCGCCUCAACCCACCCACUGCUUUUGGUUUCUCCCUUAAGCAUCCCAUAGUAAGUCUUGUACAGUAAUAUGUCCCAUGGCUCUUGGCAACAACCUCCCUCAGUCCUGAAGGUGCUCUGCUGUGUGAUGGAUUUCACACAGACACUGGGACAGCCCUGAAAGAGGUCCAGGUCACUUCUGCUUUUCACCUUGUGUUCCUCUAAGCUCUUAGAACUUUUACUUUUCUGCACAAUUAUUGUUCUCUAUCUUGAGGUAAGAAUCCCACCUGCAGCAGAAGUAAAGAAACAUGUUUUUCAACUUGAAAUAAAGCGGGAGAUACUCUUGUGGUGCUUUUGUUGUAUUUUAUUUCUUUUCUAGGAAAGAAAUGAAAUUACUACCCUUCGGUAGUAAUGGAGCCAGCAUCGAACAACGCAGGGGAAGGAGAAGAACAUGAUGUCAUGAUGAAUGAGUCCGAAGAUGCUGCAGCAGAGAUGGGCACUCAGGCACUGAUGGUGAAACUUGCCAAGUUGGAAGUGAGCAGGAACCAACUGAAGAAAUGCAGACCUUCUCAAGAUCAGCCUGCGUCAGCAGGAGGCACAGCUUCUGACAUGCCACUGGGCUUUCUCUUUAAGGUUGAAGUUCUGCAUGAUUUUGAGGCAGCUAACGGUGACCAGCUUAAUUUGAAUGGAGGGGAUAUUGCACUAGUAAUUCCUUCUGAGACCACAGCUGAUCAGGUAACAACAACAUGAUUACUUAUUUCUUUUGCUAAUGUUUCCUUUUGUCUCAGUUUCCUUCUCACUCUUUAGAGUUAAUUUGAAAUGUUGGUUCAAAACAUCUUUACUGUUAGAAAACACCAGCAUUCUUAUUUUGCCCUUCUACUUGGUUUGAUUUGUGACCAAGCAGCACAGCUAACUAAGCUGAAGUCCCAGGUAUGUACUGCCAGCAGGAUCCAACUUCAGUCCAUUUUUCUAGGGCACUUUUAUGUUGCUUUGUAGUGAAUUUUAUACAGGCUUACAUACAGGCACAGGCUGAAUACAGAAGACGGCUUACAAAUUGUGCAUCCUGCUAUCAUGUUGUUGUAACACUGGGUCAGAACUGACUGUAUUUCCCCACACGUUCAGAGUUUUACAUGGAGAUCAGGAGAAAUAUGCGUUUGCCCGGAGAGAGCACUGAGACUGCACACCAACAGUUCUGUCCUGCAGCCCAAUGGCACAGAGGUGUUCCUGCAUGUCCUGUGUGCCUCUUGGGACCUGAGCCUCACAGCUGUGCUCCUGAGCUGCACCAGCAAUCGCUUUGUCUUUGGUGCAAGAACUCAACAGUUCAGUGUCAUUUAAGAUGCUUUAUUUUGUUUUAACAGUGUGUUUCAGGUUAAUUUUUAAACGAUUUGAUUCCACACGUUAUGUUGAUUUGCAGUCAAGUGAAUGAAUUUUUUACCUCCUCUUUAAGAGCAGCCCAUCUUGUACAAUUCGUACGAGCCACUUUGUGGCUGCAGUGGCAGAAAGCGUUGAUGAAAAGCAUCCCAUUGAACUGGGAGCUGGGAGGUUGGGCUCUGGACCUGCACAGUGAGACAGCCAGGUCUCUGCUCCGAAUGAAGAGCAGUUCUUCAAACAUGCCCAAAUGCUGUCAGCGCGUGUUUGGAGAGCCAGAGACUGUUUGUUAUCUAAGCUGAACUCUCUCUUAAUACAAGAGACGAGUAAUUGCUUUGGUUUUUGAUUCUUUUUUAUUGUUGUUUCUGAAUAAAAGAUUAUUUUAUUUUCCUUUUCACUGGGACACUUUGUUAUUUUGUAGGGACAGAUCCUCUUAUGCUUACUCAAACUGUGCUGCGUCUCACCUCUUGGGCUGUUCAGCUGAGUUCAUUGUCAGUAUUUGCAGGAUCUACUCUAAGGAUAUAAAAAUAGGCUGUCCUCAGUUAUUUUUUCUUAUCAUGUUUUGUAUUAAAUCUAUAUAACCUUCCCUUGGUGAAUCCAUUGAUUGUUUUUCUCUUGUGGUGUGCAUCCAAAUCCCAUUAGCGUUCAUUGGAGUGAAUCGUGUGCAGUGAUGGAGAAAAUGAAGCCCCAUGUAUUCGUGUUGCUGAGAUCGUUCUGCUCAUAUCUUUAUUACUCAGUGCAUAUUUGCCCUUUGUGUUUCACAUCACCUAGAACUCAAUUUUUCUCUCUUACCAGAUAAUUUGUUGAUUUCAGAGAGUAUUUGAUCUUGGUUCUUUCUUCUCCUGCAAAAUUGAUCUAAGACCAUCAUUCUGAGAUAGCUGGUGCUGUCAGCCUGUGCUCCCUGUGCAAAGUCAACUCAUCCCAGCCAGUGACUCCAACUUUUAUCCGUAAUUAUUGAGUUGAAGUCAUCAUCCAUUACAGCUUCAGUCCUGAGCAGAAUCUACUCUGUCCAUGGUAGAAAACUUCAGUUCCCCCACCUCAGGUUUUCCAAAAGGUGACUUCAAAAACGUGCUGCCAGUUACUCCAUCUCUCUUCAUACUUUCUGUAGAAUAAUAAUGAAUCAGCAUUAGAAAUUGCCUGCUAAUCAUCACUUUACUCUGACUCCUGUUCUUAAAAGGAACAAAGCACAGAGUUAGCCAUGUGGUGAGAUGAAAAUAGGCUGAUCACUGCAAAAAUACUGCAUGGGUUUUAUUCCAGGUGAAAUGGAUAGCACCUAGGAGAACCAGCACUUUCCAGUAAGAAAUCUUCCUUUGGAUUGAUGGAUUUGGAUUGCAGCAUUGCAUGCCAAGAUCUGGCUUAGGCUGAAGCUUCCAGGAAUUUCUGGAAAAGGUUGUUGAGUAUCAACUGACUUUUAGUUUCUAGCGAUUGUGAUGGCAGAGAAAACAAGAACUGUUAUUUCUUCUGACUGUCAAUACAGGGAUGAGAGAAAAGAACUCUCAGAAAAAAAUAAUCAGAUGAAAACAUGGAUUUUUCCCCCUCAUCUGUGGCAUUCUAUAAUGAUUCUAGCACACUGCUGUGCUCUUCCUGCGAGGCUGCUUGACAGGCAUUAAGGAAUCUGAGUGGCUUCAGCACAGAGAUGCAAAUGGUUAUAAAGGACUUUUCCCAGAGAACUUCACACGCCAUCUGGAACAGUUCUUCUCACAGGCACACGAAUGUGGUUUGAAGCUCAGUCAGUGGGUUCUUCACCUCCUUGAAACACAGGAGCCCCCUUUUUUUGUAGUUCAGGCUGUUAAUGGUUUACAGAUUGGUUGCUUGUUGAAGCGUAUCAAAAUGAGCAUGAGUGCAAGCAGUUAAGCUAGCCAUUUCUGAAGCAGUGUGUGAAAAAAAAUCAAAUACAAACAGAAAUGUCCUCAUUUGUUCACAUGCACGUGGCAACAGGUUUGUUUGUGCUUUGCCAGAGCUGUGGUGAUCCUGUGUUUGGUCCUUUCCCAUGAAAUCCAAAAUUAGCCUCCUUGGUAGCAAAACCUGAACUUGUCUGCACUCAGUGCAUCGUAUUGAGUUGCACUGCAGAAAACUUAAUUAGUAAUCCUGUAGUAAUGAGGUCAAACUAUUACAAGUUUCACUUGUUUAAAAAAUAUCAUUAACUGCUGCAAUGUUUUCCAGUGUUACUUGGAUGUGUGUCUGCAGGUGCAUGUGGGUAUGUGUGCAUCUCAGCAAUGUCAUGCAGUGCUGUGGCUGUGCAGUGCCAUCAGGGCAUGCAUUGCUCUCCCACUGUCUGGCAUUCCAGACAACAGUUUUGUUCCAAAGCAGAACCAGCUGCUCCAUUGCCAAAGCACUGCACAGCGUCCGUGUGAGUGAGGUGAGGUUUUCAUUCUGAGAUGAUGAAUGGCAUCGUUUUCAAAGCUGCUGAACCUUUGAGAAGGCAUGGCUCGGUUUCCUCUUCCGGCUGCAGUAGUUACAGUGAGGUAAUCUGGAAGGGGAACUGUUAUGAUGCUCAUCUAUACUUUUUUAUUUAGUUGGCUGAAUAAAAAAAAACACGACAAAGUUAAUCUCUGAGAAAUAAACAUCUUUUCACAAUAAUAUUUAUGCAGCGCACCUUACAGAUCCUUUUAAAUUAAGGUACAUAAUGUAUGCUGUAUCAAAAAGUCACCUGUAACUUCUGUUUUCCAGUGCUGUGUCAUUAAAAAUAAACCUGUGAUCCACAGA